rnacentral:rRNA from 1 species
UACGGGGGGAGCAAGCGUUGUUCGGAUUUACUGGGCGUAAAGGGCGCGUAGGCGGCCAGCACAAGUCAGUUGUGAAAUCUCCGAGCUUAACUCGGAAAGGUCAACUGAUACUGUGCGGCUAGAGUGCGGAAGGGGCAACUGGAAUUCUUGGUGUAGCGGUGAAAUGCGUAGAUAUCAAGAGGAACACCUGCGGCGAAGGCGGGUUGCUGGGCCGACACGUGACGCUGGAGGCGCGGAAAGCCAGGGGAGCGAACGGG